rnacentral:rRNA from 1 species
UACGUAGGGGGGCUAGCGUUGUCCGGAAUCAUUGGGGCGUAAAGAGCGUGUAGGCGGCCCGGUAAGUCCGCUGUGAAAGUCGGGGGGCUCAACCCUCGAAUGCCGGUGGAUACUGUCGGGCUAGAGUGCGGAAGAGGCGAGUGGAAUUCCUGGUGUAGCGGUGAAAUGCGCAGAUAUCGGGAGGAACACCAAUGGCGAAGGCAGCACUCUGGGGACGGUACUGACGCUGAGACGCGAAAGCGUGGGGAGCGAACAGG